UACGAGUGGGGCGCGCGUUAUUCAUACAAACUGGGCGUAAAGCGUCUUUAGGUAGAUUUUCGUGUGUUAGCAUCUAAAGACCAGAACGUUAUUCUGGAAAGUUUGCUAAAACUGUUUAUCUAGAGUUUGUGAGGGUUAGUAGUAUUUCUUCAUGAGAGUUAAAAUUCUUAGAAAGAAGAAAGAGGUCCAUUGGUGAAGACAACUAACUAGCACUAACUGACACUAAGGACUAAAGCAUAGGAGCGAUAGGG
rnacentral:rRNA from 1 species